CAAUAGCGUAUAUUAAAGUUGUUGCAGUUAAAAAGCUCGUAGUUGGAUUUCUGGUGGGAGCGAUGGGUCCGCCUUUCAUUAGGUGCGCACUCGGUUCGCGUCCGGCCUUUUUCGCGGCGAACGUGCCUGGCAUUAGGUUGUCGGGUUCGGGAGCCGCGUCAUUUACUGUGAAAAAAUCAGGGCGUUUCAAGUAGGCUUACGCCGUUGAAUGUACUAGCAUGGAAUAAUAAGAUAGGACUUUGGUGGUCUAUUUUGUUGGUUUGCACACCAAGGUAAUGAUUAAUAGGGAUAGUUGGGGGUAUUCGUAUUCAAUUGUCAGAGGUGAAAUUCUUGGAUUUACGGAAGACGAACUACUGCGAAAGCAUUUACCAAGGAUGUUUUCAUUAA
rnacentral:rRNA from 1 species